CUCCGGGGGCAAGAGGUUCGACUCGAGCGCAGCGAGAGAACGUUGCGUCAGCAACGGCCCGCAGGGCGAGCCACGCAGUGGCGAGUCAUCCUCUAUCACCGACCA
rnacentral:sRNA from 2 species